rnacentral:rRNA from 1 species
GGUUAAGCGACUAAGCGUACACGGUGGAUGCCCUGGCAGUCAGAGGCGAUGAAGGACGUGCUAAUCUGCGAUAAGCGUCGGUAAGGUGAUAUGAACCGUUAUAACCGGCGAUUUCCGAAUGGGGAAACCCAGUGUGAUUCGUCACACUAUCAUUAACUGAAUCCAUAGGUUAAUGAGGCGAACCGGGGGAACUGAAACAUCUAAGUACCCCGAGGAAAAGAAAUCAACCGAGAUUCCCCCAGUAGCGGCGAGCGAACGGGGAGCAGCCCAGAGCCUGAAUCAGUGUGUGUGUUAGUGGAAGCGUCUGGAAAGGCGCGCGAUACAGGGUGACAGCCCCGUACACAAAAAUGCACAUGCUGUGAGCUCGAUGAGUAGGGCGGGACACGUGGUAUCCUGUCUGAAUAUGGGGGGACCAUCCUCCAAGGCUAAAUACUCCUGACUGACCGAUAGUGAACCAGUACCGUGAGGGAAAGGCGAAAAGAACCCCGGCGAGGGGAGUGAAAAAGAACCUGAAACCGUGUACGUACAAGCAGUGGGAGCACAGAGCAAUCUGUGUGACUGCGUACCUUUUGUAUAAUGGGUCAGCGACUUAUAUUCUGUAGCAAGGUUAACCGAAUAGGGGAGCCGAAGGGAAACCGAGUCUUAACUGGGCGUUAAGUUGCAGGGUAUAGACCCGAAACCCGGUGAUCUAGCCAUGGGCAGGUUGAAGGUUGGGUAACACUAACUGGAGGACCGAACCGACUAAUGUUGAAAAAUUAGCGGAUGACUUGUGGCUGGGGGUGAAAGGCCAAUCAAACCGGGAGAUAGCUGGUUCUCCCCGAAAGCUAUUUAGGUAGCGCCUCGUGAAUUCAUCUCCGGGGGUAGAGCACUGUUUCGGCAAGGGGGUCAUCCCGACUUACCAACCCGAUGCAAACUGCGAAUACCGGAGAAUGUUAUCACGGGAGACACACGGCGGGUGCUAACGUCCGUCGUGAAGAGGGAAACAACCCAGACCGCCAGCUAAGGUCCCAAAGUCAUGGUUAAGUGGGAAACGAUGUGGGAAGGCCCAGACAGCCAGGAUGUUGGCUUAGAAGCAGCCAUCAUUUAAAGAAAGCGUAAUAGCUCACUGGUCGAGUCGGCCUGCGCGGAAGAUGUAACGGGGCUAAACCAUGCACCGAAGCUGCGGCAGCGACGCUUAUGCGUUGUUGGGUAGGGGAGCGUUCUGUAAGCCUGUGAAGGUGUACUGUGAGGUAUGCUGGAGGUAUCAGAAGUGCGAAUGCUGACAUAAGUAACGAUAAAGCGGGUGAAAAGCCCGCUCGCCGGAAGACCAAGGGUUCCUGUCCAACGUUAAUCGGGGCAGGGUGAGUCGACCCCUAAGGCGAGGCCGAAAGGCGUAGUCGAUGGGAAACAGGUUAAUAUUCCUGUACUUGGUGUUACUGCGAAGGGGGGACGGAGAAGGCUAUGUUGGCCGGGCGACGGUUGUCCCGGUUUAAGCGUGUAGGCUGGUUUUCCAGGCAAAUCCGGAAAAUCAAGGCUGAGGCGUGAUGACGAGGCACUACGGUGCUGAAGCAACAAAUGCCCUGCUUCCAGGAAAAGCCUCUAAGCAUCAGGUAACAUCAAAUCGUACCCCAAACCGACACAGGUGGUCAGGUAGAGAAUACCAAGGCGCUUGAGAGAACUCGGGUGAAGGAACUAGGCAAAAUGGUGCCGUAACUUCGGGAGAAGGCACGCUGAUAUGUAGGUGAAGUCCCUCGCGGAUGGAGCUGAAAUCAGUCGAAGAUACCAGCUGGCUGCAACUGUUUAUUAAAAACACAGCACUGUGCAAACACGAAAGUGGACGUAUACGGUGUGACGCCUGCCCGGUGCCGGAAGGUUAAUUGAUGGGGUUAGCGCAAGCGAAGCUCUUGAUCGAAGCCCCGGUAAACGGCGGCCGUAACUAUAACGGUCCUAAGGUAGCGAAAUUCCUUGUCGGGUAAGUUCCGACCUGCACGAAUGGCGUAAUGAUGGCCAGGCUGUCUCCACCCGAGACUCAGUGAAAUUGAACUCGCUGUGAAGAUGCAGUGUACCCGCGGCAAGACGGAAAGACCCCGUGAACCUUUACUAUAGCUUGACACUGAACAUUGAGCCUUGAUGUGUAGGAUAGGUGGGAGGCUUUGAAGUGUGGACGCCAGUCUGCAUGGAGCCGGCCUUGAAAUACCACCCUUUAAUGUUUGAUGUUCUAACGUUGACCCGUAAUCCGGGUUGCGGACAGUGUCUGGUGGGUAGUUUGACUGGGGCGGUCUCCUCCUAAAGAGUAACGGAGGAGCACGAAGGUUGGCUAAUCCUGGUCGGACAUCAGGAGGUUAGUGCAAUGGCAUAAGCCAGCUUGACUGCGAGCGUGACGGCGCGAGCAGGUGCGAAAGCAGGUCAUAGUGAUCCGGUGGUUCUGAAUGGAAGGGCCAUCGCUCAACGGAUAAAAGGUACUCCGGGGAUAACAGGCUGAUACCGCCCAAGAGUUCAUAUCGACGGCGGUGUUUGGCACCUCGAUGUCGGCUCAUCACAUCCUGGGGCUGAAGUAGGUCCCAAGGGUAUGGCUGUUCGCCAUUUAAAGUGGUACGCGAGCUGGGUUUAGAACGUCGUGAGACAGUUCGGUCCCUAUCUGCCGUGGGCGCUGGAGAACUGAGGGGGGCUGCUCCUAGUACGAGAGGACCGGAGUGGACGCAUCACUGGUGUUCGGGUUGUCAUGCCAAUGGCACUGCCCGGUAGCUAAAUGCGGAAGAGAUAAGUGCUGAAAGCAUCUAAGCACGAAACUUGCCCCGAGAUGAGUUCUCCCUGACUCCUUGAGAGUCCUGAAGGAACGUUGAAGACGACGACGUUGAUAGGCCGGGUGUGUAAGCGCAGCGAUGCGUUGAGCUAACCGGUACUAAUGAACCGUGAGGCUUAACCUU